rnacentral:rRNA from 1 species
UACAGAGGGUGCAAGCGUUAAUCGGAAUUACUGGGCGUAAAGCGCGCGUAGGUGGUUUGUUAAGUUGGAUGUGAAAUCCCCGGGCUCAACCUGGGAACUGCAUCCAAAACUGGCAAGCUAGAGUAUGGUAGAGGGUGGUGGAAUUUCCUGUGUAGCGGUGAAAUGCGUAGAUAUAGGAAGGAACACCGGUGGCGAAGGCGACCACCUGGACUGAUACUGACACUGAGGUGCGAAAGCGUGGGGAGCAAACAGG